AGAGUUUGAUCCUGGCUCAGAACGAACGCUGGCGGCGUGGAUAAGACAUGCAAGUCGAACGAGAGAAUUGCUAGCUUGCUAAUAAUUCUCUAGUGGCGCACGGGUGAGUAACACGUGAGUAACCUGCCCCCGAGAGCGGGAUAGCCCUGGGAAACUGGGAUUAAUACCGCAUAGUAUCGAAAGAUUAAAGCAGCAAUGCGCUUGGGGAUGGGCUCGCGGCCUAUUAGUUAGUUGGUGAGGUAACGGCUCACCAAGGCGAUGACGGGUAGCCGGUCUGAGAGGAUGUCCGGCCACACUGGAACUGAGACACGGUCCAGACACCUACGGGUGGCAGCAGUCGAGAAUCAUUCACAAUGGGGGAAACCCUGAUGGUGCGACGCCGCGUGGGGGAAUGAUGGUCUUCGGAUUGUAAACCCCUGUCAUGUGGGAGCAAAUUAAAAAGAUAGUACCACAAGAGGAAGAGACGGCUAACUCUGUGCCAGCAGCCGCGGUAAUACAGAGGUCUCAAGCGUUGUUCGGAAUCACUGGGCGUAAAGCGUGCGUAGGCUGUUUCGUAAGUCGUGUGUGAAAGGCGCGGGCUCAACCCGCGGACGGCACAUGAUACUGCGAGACUAGAGUAAUGGAGGGGGAACCGGAAUUCUCGGUGUAGCAGUGAAAUGCGUAGAUAUCGAGAGGAACACUCGUGGCGAAGGCGGGUUCCUGGACAUUAACUGACGCUGAGGCACGAAGGCCAGGGGAGCGAAAGGGAUUAGAUACCCCUGUAGUCCUGGCAGUAAACGGUGCACGCUUGGUGUGCGGGGAAUCGACCCCCUGCGUGCCGGAGCUAACGCGUUAAGCGUGCCGCCUGGGGAGUACGGUCGUAAGAUUAAAACUCAAAGAAAUUGACGGGGACCCGCACAAGCGGUGGAGUAUGUGGCUUAAUUCGAUGCAACGCGAAGAACCUUACCUGGGCUUGACAUGUAAUGAACAACAUGUGAAAGCAUGCGACUCUUCGGAGGCGUUACACAGGUGCUGCAUGGCCGUCGUCAGCUCGUGUCGUGAGAUGUUUGGUUAAGUCCAGCAACGAGCGCAACCCCUGUUGCCAGUUACCAGCACGUGAAGGUGGGGACUCUGGCGAGACUGCCCAGAUCAACUGGGAGGAAGGUGGGGACGACGUCAGGUCAGUAUGGCCCUUAUGCCCAGGGCUGCACACGUACUACAAUGCCCAGUACAGAGGGGGCCGAAGCCGCGAGGCGGUGGAAAUCCUAAAAACUGGGCCCAGUUCGGACUGUAGGCUGCAACCCGCCUACACGAAGCCGGAAUCGCUAGUAAUGGCGCAUCAGCUACGGCGCCGUGAAUACGUUCCCGGGUCUUGUACACACCGCCCGUCA
rnacentral:rRNA from 1 species